rnacentral:misc_RNA from 1 species
UAAUAAGUGUUUUAUGGCACUUUUUAAAUCCAUAUCCACCUUGUGUGCAAUGUCAGUCGAUCUUCUUCAUGGAGAUCGACCAAACAUCAACCUUUAUCUUUUAACUCUUUGUCUUAAAAAUAUUAUGAAUAGACAAUUCAAAAUA